AGCGAAUAGAUACCCAGGUAGUCCACGCCCUAAACGAUCUCAACUGGCUAUUCGGAGUAUCGACCCUCUGAGUGGCGAAAGCUAACGCGUUAAGUUGAGCGCCUGGGUAGUACGGCCGCAAGGCUAAAACUCAAAGGAAUAGACGGGGGCUUGCACAAGCGGUGGAGCGUGUGGCUUAAUUCGUCGCUAAGCGAAGAACCUUACCAGGGCUAGAAAUCCUACUGCACGUCCUAGGAAACUAGGAAAGCCUUCGAGGGUGUAGGACAGGUGAUGCAUGGCUGUCGUCAGUUCGUGGUUUGAAUCGUUCCCUUCAGUGGGGUAACGAACGCAACCCUCGUUGCCUGUUACACGUAUCAGGCGAGACUG
rnacentral:rRNA from 1 species